rnacentral:ncRNA from 2 species
CGGAUCGAUCGUGGUGAUUUGGGCCGGCCGGCUUGCAGCCACGUAAAACAAGUCGCUAAAAGGCCGGGCGCGACGGGCC